GAUCAUGGCUCAGAUUGAACGCUGGCGGCAGGCUUAACACAUGCAAGUCGAGCGGAGAUGAGGUGCUUGCACCUUAUCUUAGCGGCGGACGGGUGAGUAAUGCUUAGGAAUCUGCCUAUUAGUGGGGGACAACAUUCCGAAAGGAAUGCUAAUACCGCAUACGCCCUACGGGGGAAAGCAGGGGAUCUUCGGACCUUGCGCUAAUAGAUGAGCCUAAGUCGGAUUAGCUAGUUGGUGGGGUAAAGGCCUACCAAGGCGACGAUCUGUAGCGGGUCUGAGAGGAUGAUCCGCCACACUGGGACUGAGACACGGCCCAGACUCCUACGGGAGGCAGCAGUGGGGAAUAUUGGACAAUGGGCGGAAGCCUGAUCCAGCCAUGCCGCGUGUGUGAAGAAGGCCUUUUGGUUGUAAAGCACUUUAAGCGAGGAGGAGGCUACUUAGAUUAAUACUCUAGGAUAGUGGACGUUACUCGCAGAAUAAGCACCGGCUAACUCUGUGCCAGCAGCCGCGGUAAUACAGAGGGUGCGAGCGUUAAUCGGAUUUACUGGGCGUAAAGCGUGCGUAGGCGGCUGAUUAAGUCGGAUGUGAAAUCCCUGAGCUUAACUUAGGAAUUGCAUUCGAUACUGGUCAGCUAGAGUAUGGGAGAGGAUGGUAGAAUUCCAGGUGUAGCGGUGAAAUGCGUAGAGAUCUGGAGGAAUACCGAUGGCGAAGGCAGCCAUCUGGCCUAAUACUGACGCUGAGGUACGAAAGCAUGGGGAGCAAACAGGAUUAGAUACCUGGUAGUCCAUGCCGUAAACGAUGUCUACUAGCCGUUGGGGCCUUUGAGGCUUUAGUGGCGCAGCUAACGCGAUAAGUAGACCGCCUGGGGAGUACGGUCGCAAGACUAAAACUCAAAUGAAUUGACGGAGGCCCGCACAAGCGGUGGAGCAUGUGGUUUAAUUCGAUGCAACGCGAAGAACCUUACCUGGCCUUGACAUAGUAAGAACUUUCCAGAGAUGGAUUGGUGCCUUCGGGAACUUACAUACAGGUGCCGCAUGGCUGUCGUCAGCUCGUGUCGUGAGAUGUUGGGUUAAGUCCCGCAACGAGCGCAACCCUUUUCCUUAUUUGCCAGCGAGUAAUGUCGGGAACUUUAAGGAUACUGCCAGUGACAAACUGGAGGAAGGCGGGGACGACGUCAAGUCAUCAUGGCCCUUACGGCCAGGGCUACACACGUGCUACAAUGGUCGGUACAAAGGGUUGCUACCUAGCGAUAGGAUGCUAAUCUCAAAAAGCCGAUCGUAGUCCGGAUUGGAGUCUGCAACUCGACUCCAUGAAGUCGGAAUCGCUAGUAAUCGCGGAUCAGAAUGCCGCGGUGAAUACGUUCCCGGGCCUUGUACACACCGCCCGUCACACCAUGGGAGUUUGUUGCACCAGAAGUAGGUAGUCUAACCGCAAGGAGGACGCUUACCACGGUGUGGCCGAUGACUGGGGUGAAGUCGUAACAAGGUAACCGUA
rnacentral:rRNA from 1 species